UACAGAGGUCCCAAGCGUUGUUCGGAUUCACUGGGCGUAAAGGGUGCGUAGGCGGUCGGGUAAGUCUGAUGUGAAGUCUCCAAGCCUAACUUGGAAACUGCAUUGGAUACUAUCCGGCUCGAGGAAUGGAGGGGAGACUGGAAUACUUGGUGUAGCAGUGAAAUGCGUAGAUAUCAAGUGGAACACCAGUGGCGAAGGCGAGUCUCUGGACAUUUCCUGACGCUGAGGCACGAAAGCCAGGGGAGCAAACGGG
rnacentral:rRNA from 1 species